rnacentral:lncRNA from 1 species
GGCGGGGGCGGGGGCGGAGAGGUUGUCUCCAGGUUGGACCUGAGCUUCAGGAAAGUCGCUUUAGUAACUGGAUGGAGGAUGGACUGGAGUGGAGACUCGAGGUAGGCAGAGCCACCCAAAGGCUAUUUCGGUAGUUCAAGGCAUGAGGUGAUGAGGGCCUGCACCAGGGGAUGGCAGUGUCAGAGGAGGCAUGCUGCAAAGGUUAGUUGGACAGCCUUGACGACAGCUUGGAUGAGAGACGGGGGUGAGAGAGAGUGAGGAGUCCAGGAUGACUCCUAGGUUUCAAGCCUGAGGGACUUUGAGUAUGGUGAUGCCCUCCCCAUAACAGGGAAUUUGGAGGUUAAGGGGAAAGAUGAUGAGGUCCAUUUGGGACAUAAUUGAGUUGAAGAUGUCCAGGGGCCAUUCAGAUGUCUCAGGGGCAGUUGGAGAUGAGAGACUGGAGGUCAGCCGAGAGUUGGGACAGGUUCGAUAGAGUGGAGAGUCAUCAGCAUAGAGAUUGUCAUUCAAUCGAUGGGAACCGCUGAGAUCCCCAGGUGAAGUAGGUGACUCCUGAGGUCCGUAAGCUAGCUUGAGGAUCCAGAAGUGAGGGCUCUCUAAAGGGCUGCGUCAGGCCUGCCGGGGAAGGUCAGGACUACCAGGAAGCCAACGGAAACGGGCUCCCGGAAGAGGUGGCACGGGAGGUGUCGAUCCUGCCCUUUGUGUCCCUCACCCAUCAGGCUUCUUCUCCAAAGUUUUGCGCACCAUCUUCCAAGAACAGGUCCAGAUGCUCCAGAACGCCAUUAUCCGAAGUCUUUCCCCCCACCCCCCUCCAGGCGCCUUCCACUAGCUAGUCCAGCCUCUCUAGGCCACCCAAAGCUCUCUUCUUCCUUCCGACAUCCUGCUGGUGGGCAGGUGCUGUGGGGUGGGAGAGGUCUGGUCCAGUUUGCUGGGAAGUGUUCCGGCUGUCUGGAUGGCGGGGCACACGAAAAGGCUCUGUCUGUUUCUGCUGAGCCCUGGCAGAAUCCGGUCCACCUCUCCGAAAAAUCAGCCAAUCAGCCCCAGGCCCCCUUCCACGCCCAGUCCCACGGCAGGCUGGUCUGAAUGGUGCUGUAA